rnacentral:lncRNA from 1 species
GAUGCGCAAGAAAGAUAAAGAACUGAUGAAUUUGCAGAAAGAUGCAGAUUGAGUCUGCAAGAUCUUUGAAAAACUGAAGAAGAAAGAAGUUUGUUGAAGAAGAAACACUUUGAAAACGGUUGUAACUAACUUUUUGAUGGUGGUUUUGCAAAACCACCACUAGGUCCUUGGAUCUUUGGUGAUGAUACCACUUGUUAUGAUUAAGGGAUCUUUCUCAUUGAUUACUAAUGAUCACCACACAUACUUUAUAUAGGCAAUGUGCCAUAUACAAGCAUUGGGCUCAAAGUACAAACACUUGAUAUUGGGCUUGCAUAAUUCUAGGCCCAAUAUACAAUAUCCAACA